UGCACCAGUUAAAAGUAGAUC
rnacentral:piRNA from 1 species